rnacentral:rRNA from 1 species
UACGUAGGGGGCAAGCGUUGUCCGGAAUUAUUGGGCGUAAAGAGCUCGUAGGCGGUUUGUCGCGUCGACUGUGAAAACCUGGGGCUUAACUCUGGCCUGCAGUCGAUACGGGCAGACUUGAGUUCGGUAGGGGAGACUGGAAUUCCUGGUGUAGCGGUGAAAUGCGCAGAUAUCAGGAGGAACACCGGUGGCGAAGGCGGGUCUCUGGGCCGAUACUGACGCUGAGGAGCGAAAGCGUGGGGAGCGAACAGG